GGGUUGUGAGGUUAAGCGACUAAGCGUACACGGUGGAUGCCCUGGCAGUCAGAGGCGAUGAAGGGCGUACUAAUCUGCGAUAAGCGCCGGUAAGGUGAUAUGAACCGUUAUAACCGGCGAUACCCGAAUGGGGAAACCCAGUGUGAUUCGUCACACUAUCAUUAACUGAAUCCAUAGGUUAAUGAGGCGAACCGGGGGAACUGAAACAUCUAAGUACCCCGAGGAAAAGAAAUCAACCGAGAUUCCCCCAGUAGCGGCGAGCGAACGGGGAGGAGCCCAGAGCCUGAAUCAGCAUGUGUGUUAGUGGAAGCGUCUGGAAAGGCGCGCGAUACAGGGUGACAGCCCCGUACACAAAAGCGCAUGUGCUGUGAGCUCGAUGAGUAGGGCGGGACACGUGGUAUCCUGUCUGAAUAUGGGGGGACCAUCCUCCAAGGCUAAAUACUCCUGACUGACCGAUAGUGAACCAGUACCGUGAGGGAAAGGCGAAAAGAACCCCGGCGAGGGGAGUGAAAAAGAACCUGAAACCGUGUACGUACAAGCAGUGGGAGCACAGGUUUACCUGUGUGAC
rnacentral:rRNA from 1 species